rnacentral:rRNA from 1 species
UACGUAGGAGGCGAGCGUUGUCCGGAAUCACUGGGUGUAAAGCGCGUGUAGGCGGCCUGCCAAGUCUGCUGUGAAAGCGCCUGGCUUAACCGGGCGAGGUCGGUGGAAACUGGCGGGCUGGAGGACGGUAGAGGGGGGUGGAAUUCCAGGUGUAGCGGUGAAAUGCGUAGAUAUCUGGAGGAACACCGGUGGCGAAGGCGGCAUCCUGGACCAAUAUUGACGCUGAGGAGCGAAAGCUAGGGGAGCAAACGGG